GCAGUAGCCGCGGUAAUACGGAGGGAGCUAGCGUUGUUCGGAAUUACUGGGCGUAAAGCGCACGUAGGCGGUUAUUCAAGUCAGAGGUGAAAGCCCGGGGCUCAACCCCGGAACUGCCUUUGAAACUAGAUGACUGGAAUCUUGGAGAGGUCAGUGGAAUUCCGAGUGUAGAGGUGAAAUUCGUAGAUAUUCGGAAGAACACCAGUGGCGAAGGCGACUGACUGGACAAGUAUUGACGCUGAGGUGCGAAAGCGUGGGGAGCAAACAGGAUUAGAUACCCGUGUAGUCCCUGUCUCUUAUAC
rnacentral:rRNA from 1 species